UUGAACGCUGGCGGCAGGCCUAACACAUGCAAGUUGAGCGGAUGAAGGCAGCUUGCUCCUGGAUUCAGCGGCGGACGGGUGAGUAAUGCCUAGGAAUCUGCCUGGUAGUGGGGGAUAACGUCCGGAAACGGGCGCUAAUACCGCAUACGUCCUGAGGGAUAAAGUGGGGGAUCUUCGGACAUCACGCUAUCAGAUGAGCCUAGGUCGUAUUAGAUAGUUGGUUGGGUAAAGGCCUACCAAGGCGACGAUCCUUAACUGGUCUGAGAGGAUGAUCAGUCACACUGGGACUGAGACACCGUCCAGACUCCUACGGGAGGCAGCAGGGGGGAAUAUUGGACAAUUGGCGAAAGCCUGAUCCAGCCAUGCCGCGUGUGUGAAGAAGGGCUUCGGAUUGUAAAGCACUUUAAGUUGGGAGGAAGGGCAGUAAGUUAAUACCUUGCUGUUUUGACGUUACCAACAGAAUAAGCACCGGCUAACUUCGUG
rnacentral:rRNA from 1 species